UCUUUAUAGCUUGCUAUAAAGAAUAAUUAGUGGCAGACGGGUGAGUAAUGCAUAGGAAUCUACCUAGUAGUAUGGGAUAGCCACUAGAAAUGGUGGGUAAUACUGUAUAAUCCCUGCGGGGGAAAGAUUUAUCGCUAUUAGAUGAGCCUAUGUUAGAUUAGCUAGUUGGUAGGGUAAAGGCCUACCAAGGCGAUGAUCUAUAGCUGGUCUGAGAGGAUGAUCAGCCACACUGGAACUGAGAUACGGUCCAGACUCCUACGGGAGGCAGCAGUGGGGAAUAUUGGACAAUGGGCGCAAGCCUGAUCCAGCUAUGCCGCGUGAGUGAGGAAGGCCUUAGGGUUGUAAAACUCUUUCAGUAGGGAAGAUAAUGACGGUACCUACAGAAGAAGUCCCGGCAAACUCCGUGCCAGCAGCCGCGGUAAUACGGAGGGGGCAAGCGUUGUUCGGAAUUAUUGGGCGUAAAGGGCAUGUAGGCGGUUCGGUAAGUUAAAGGUGAAAUGCCAGGGCUUAACCCUGGAGCUGCUUU
rnacentral:rRNA from 1 species